rnacentral:rRNA from 1 species
UACAGAGGUCUCAAGCGUUGUUCGGAUUCAUUGGGCGUAAAGGGUGCGUAGGCGGCGCGGUAAGUCGGAUGUGAAAUCUCGGAGCUUAACUCCGAAACUGCAUUCGAUACUGCCGUGCUUGAGGACUGGAGAGGAGACUGGAAUUCCCGGUGUAGAGGUGAAAUUCGUAGAUAUCGGGAGGAACACCGGUGGCGAAGGCGGCGAUCUGGGUAGAUACUGACGCUGAGGUGCGAAAGCGUGGGGAGCAAACAGG